GAUGUUGCAUCAUGGCCAGUUAUAGAGAAGAUCACAACACAAAUGCAAACCGAUGGGGUAUCUUGCGGGCUAUGGAUGAUAAACUAUAUGGAAUACUGGACAGGAUCCUCCCUAUCUGAUAACGUAACUCAGGAUGAUAUAACAAUGUUUAGGUUUAAGCUACCUGCAAUAUUAUGGGACUCGAGAUUAAACACAAAGAAAAGACAUCAAAAUCUUGACCACAAUGUGGAUGAAGAUGG